rnacentral:rRNA from 2 species
UCUGGUAUUGAUUGGUGCUUGCAUCAUGAUUUACAUUUGAGUGAGUGGCGAACUGGUGAGUAACACGUGGGAAACCUGCCCAGAAGCGGGGGAUAACACCUGGAAACAGAUGCUAAUACCGCAUAACAACUUGGACCGCAUGGUCCGAGUUUGAAAGAUGGCUUCGGCUAUCACUUUUGGAUGGUCCCGCGGCGUAUUAGCUAGAUGGGGGGGUAACGGCUCACCAUGGCAAUGAUACGUAGCCGACCUGAGAGGGUAAUCGGCCACAUUGGGACUGAGACACGGCCCAAACUCCUACGGGAGGCAGCAGUAGGGAAUCUUCCACAAUGGACGAAAGUCUGAUGGAGCAACGCCGCGUGAGUGAAGAAGGGUUUCGGCUCGUAAAACUCUGUUGUUAAAGAAGAACAUAUCUGAGAGUAACUGUUCAGGUAUUGACGGUAUUUGAGGGGGAAAGCCACGGCUAACUACGUGCCAGCAGCCGCGGUAAUACGUAGGUGGCAAGCGUUGUCCGGAUUUAUUGGGCGUAAAGCGAGCGCAGGCGGUUUUUUAAGUCU